UGAGAUUGCAAUGAGGAUUUACAGCUCCCUCUUCUGAUUCAAAGUUGAGGAAAUUAGCUGGCAGAAUCGAACCAAUUUAAUUUCAAGCCAUCACUGAGUAA
rfam:Populus trichocarpa scaffold_12_contig_179, whole genome shotgun sequence.